rnacentral:lncRNA from 1 species
AGUCGCCUCAAAACGCGCCAGAGUCGACUCGGGGCAGAUUGGGGUCGACUCAUGCCUCAGAGGGGUCGACUCAUGAGGUUGGGGGUCUACUCUCUCUGAGAGUUCAGAAAAUGAAGUUUUGCGGCUCUUGGUCGGGGUCGACUCAUGAGGUUGGGGUUGACUCAUGCUUCAGUGAAAUUUUUAGUGAAGGAGGAUUUUGACUCUUUCUCGCACCUUGACCCUAUAGCAGUGGCUUAAGGUGUGUGUGCGAUGCUUUUGCAUCAUAAUACAUAUAAGGAGAAGAUUAAUUGAUAGGAAAAAGAGAAAAAGGAAAGGAUUUAAAAAAAGGGGG